rnacentral:misc_RNA from 1 species
AAGUCGUAACAAGGAUCAUUAACACGUAUCCAACGUUAAACCCCCCGUGCACACAGCGACCUGCUCCCCUCAAUUUCGGUCUUUUGGCAAUCCCUGGUAAAUCAUCGCCGAACAGUUUUGAUUCAGGGACAUCCAAAGGGCCAUUAAAGUAGUAGUCAAUGCAAGCAACCUGGUUUCUUUGAAGCAGAAAGUGUGAUGGCGUGAGCCGGAGAACGGACCGAGUGGUAGUUCAAAGGUGCCUUCUGUCGCGCACUGUGGAAAGGAAGACGCUUUACGAAUCACUGUCCAACACGGUACCCAUAUUCACCACCACAGUCGCAGACGAGGUAGGGAUACAAUGAUCAUGAACAACUGUUAACAAUGGAUAUCUUGGUUCUC